rnacentral:rRNA from 1 species
UACGGAGGGUGCAAGCGUUAUCCGGAUUCACUGGGUUUAAAGGGUGCGUAGGAGGGCAGAUAAGUCAGUGGUGAAAUCCUAGAGCUUAACUCUAGAACUGCCGUUGAUACUAUCUGUCUUGAAUAUUGUGGAGGUGAGCGGAAUAUGUCAUGUAGCGGUGAAAUGCUUAGAUAUGACAUAGAACACCAAUUGCGAAGGCAGCUCGCUACGCAUAUAUUGACUCUGAGGCACGAAAGCGUGGGGAUCAAACAGG